rnacentral:snoRNA from 1 species
AAUCAAAGUGUUGAGUUCAGUACUGGGCUUUCUCCCCGGUUCUGGUAAUUAAUCUUUGGUACAGAAAAUGGCUGAGUGAUAUUAGAAACAUGAAGUAGUUAUGCUUUGAUCACCUUCAUCAAACUUCAGCCAACAUUG